rnacentral:rRNA from 1 species
ACGGGAGGCAGCAGUGGGGAAUAUUGGGCAAUGGGCGAAAGCCUGACCCAGCAACGCCGCGUGAAGGAAGAAGGCCUUCGGGUUGUAAACUUCUUUUACCAGGGACGAAGGACGUGACGGUACCUGGAGAAAAAGCAACGGCUAACUACGUGCCAGCAGCCGCGGUAAUACGUAGGUUGCAAGCGUUGUCCGGAUUUACUGGGUGUAAAGGGCGUGUAGGCGGAGCUGCAAGUCAGAUGUGAAAUCCCGGGGCUCAACCCCGGAACUGCAUUUGAAACUGUAGAUCUUGAGUGCUGGAGAGGUAAUCGGAAUUCCUUGUGUAGCGGUGAAAUGCGUAGAUAUAAGGAAGAACACCAGUGGCGAAGGCGGAUUACUGGACAGUAACUGACGGUGAGGCGCGAAAGCGUGGGGAGCAAACAGGAUUAGAUACCCUGGUA